rnacentral:rRNA from 1 species
GAUGAACGCUGGCGGCGUGCUUAACACAUGCAAGUCGAACGAGAAGUGAAGACGGAAACCUUCGGGCGGAAGGCUUUAUUUCUAGUGGCGGACGGGUGAGUAACGCGUGGGUAACCUGCCUCAUACAGGGGGAUAACAGUUGGAAACGACUGUUAAUACCGCAUAAGACCACAGCACCGCAUGGUGCGGGGGUAAACACUCCGGGGGGAUGAGAUGGACCCGCGUGCGGUUAGCCAGCUGGCGGGGUAACUGCCCAGCAAAGCGACGAUCGAUAUCCGAUCUGAGAGGAUGACCGGCCACAUUGGGACUGAGGCACGGCCCAAACCCCGACGGGAGGGUGGAGUGGGGAAUAUUGCACAAUGGGGGAAACCCUGAUGCAGCGACGCCGCGUGAGUGAAGAAGUAUUUCGGUAUGUAAAGCUCUAUCAGCAGGGAAGAAAAUGACGGUACCUGAGUAAGAAGCCCCGGCUAACUACGUG